rnacentral:rRNA from 1 species
AGUGAACGCUGGCGGUAGGCCUAACACAUGCAAGUCGAACGGCAGCACAGUAAGAGCUUGCUCUUACGGGUGGCGAGUGGCGGACGGGUGAGGAAUACAUCGGAAUCUACUUUUUCGUGGGGGAUAACGUAGGGAAACUUACGCUAAUACCGCAUACGACCUACGGGUGAAAGCAGGGGAUCUUCGGACCUUGCGCGAUUGAAUGAGCCGAUGUCGGAUUAGCUAGUUGGCGGGGUAAAGGCCCACCAAGGCGACGAUCCGUAGCUGGUCUGAGAGGAUGAUCAGCCACACUGGAACUGAGACACGGUACAGACUCCUACGGGAGGCAGCGGUGGGAAAUAUUGGACAAUGGGCGCAAGCCUGAUCCAGCCAUACCGCGGGGGUGAAGAAGGCCUUCGGUUGUAAAGCCCUUUUGUUGGGAAAGAAAAGCAGCAGGUUAAUACCCCGCUGUUCUGACGGUACCCAAAGAAUAAGCACCGGCUAACUUCGUG